rnacentral:misc_RNA from 1 species
AAUUGAUUGUAUAGCUCAAUUAUUGGGAUUUGUAUUCCUAGUUAGUUAGGAACUACCUAUAUAUAUUUGUAUCAAUACCUUCAUGUAAUAAAAUACAUAGAAAUUUUUCUCUAUCAAAGGAGAGCAGGACUCGGUUUUAGUUUUAAUUCACUUACAUGGUAUAAGUUCAAUUUCCCAGUGUUGCCACUAUAUUUCAAUUUCAAGUGUCAACUGGAUGUUCCAGUUGUCACUUGAGGGAGAGCAUUGGAAUAUCAUUUGUGGGAACAAGUCCCACAUCG